rnacentral:lncRNA from 1 species
AGACUGUCCCCCUUCAGGUGUCCUGGUGCAGGCUUUCAGGGAAGGGAGAGCCCCUAACCUCGCCCCACCUCCCAAAACUUCUCCCCCUGCCGUCGGGCUAUGGUAAAGGGGAAAGGACAGGACUCAGGACCUUGAGGGAGGCAUUGAGUCAGAGGGCAGAGAGGGGUCAAGGAGACCCAGGCGGGAGGCGCGGAAGCAUACAGUCUGCGGGGACAAGGACUGAACGGGGUAGUGGGAGCCAGGUCCCUGGUUCCCUUCACGCCCCCACCCCCAGCCUCAGCUCUGUCUGGGUGGAACGAAUGUCUGCUAAUGAACUAAACAAACAGGUCUCUUAAUCUUAUCAUGGAGCUGACCCAGAGACUGGCACAGAUAUCCAAAGUAUCAUAAUUGGCAGGUCAGAAUUAAAACUACAUACAUCAUGGUGACUUUAUAGCUGAGGCAAAGUGGAGCUCAAGUGUUACUUUCCCAGUAAGCAAAUCAUAAUGAAGUAUCAUGCUGGUGACUAAUUUAACUAACAUUGUCCAGGAAAUUGCUGUUGUCCAGGAAGAGAAGAGUUGAGCCGAGUGUCAACUACUAGGCUUCUGGCACCAUCCUGCACAAGAAAUUGGAGCAUAAGGGACAUUUCCACAUUCUAACUUUACAUGAAGACUCAGGACUUUGAAAGCCCAUGAGAAA